CCUACGGGUGGCAGCAGUGGGGAAUAUUGCGCAAUGGGCGAAAGCCUGAAGCAGCGACGCCGCGUGAGGGAUGAAAGUCUUCUGAUCGUAAACCUCUGUCUGCAGGGAAGUACGGUCACUGUGCUAUUCAGCAGUGAAUUUACGGUACCUGCAAAGGAAGCACCGUCUCACUCCGGGCCAGCAGCCGCGGUAAUACGGAGGGUGCGAGCGUUUAUCGGAUUUACUUGGCGGGCAGCCGGGAAGACAAGUCAGAUGUGAAAUCCCGCGGCUUAAACGCGGAACUGCAGUUGAAACUGUUUUUCUUGAGUACCGGCGAGGUCAUCGGAAUUCGUGGUGUAGCGGUGAAAUGCGUAGAUAUAAGGAAGAACACCAGUGGCGAAGGCGGAUGACUGGACGACAACUGACGGUGAGGCGCGAAAGCGUGGGGAGCAAACAGGAUUAGAUACCCGAGUAGUC
rnacentral:rRNA from 1 species